UUGAGGACGGUUAAGCCUUGAGCUGGUGCGCUAAGCGCUAAGCAGGGCGCGAUCAAUAUUUGCUCAUCGUGGCCGUUCGUCCCGAGCGCUGGCUCGCUAAGUGAACGGAUUUAAAUGUUUCGUGUGCGGGACACAAAACGGGCCCUCUGUUUGUCCACAAAUACACACACACACACACACGAACUGGGUGAUCCCGGAUGGAUUGUUGGAUUUAUUAUUUGUGGACUAGUCAGAGAGAGAGAGAGAGAGAGAGAGAGAGGAAGCGACCGUUUGAAGCCGAGAAGGGUAAGUCUACCGCAGUUCGUAGUCGCUGUGGUCGUCGUCCCGAUGUCUCAGGGUGUGUAAGGAAUUCGACACGAUAAGCAAGACACGUUUCGAUGUUUAAAAAUGGCAUCACACAGCAAACACUGGACCCGACACAAGCAAAAGCCUCCCAAUUACUGCUCGUUUCUCGAAAUUAAAACAUUUGUUUCGCGAUGAACAUGACGAGAUAAUAGUACGGUCGGUGGUACUCAGCAUAAAUGCAUAAAUAAAUUUUCCCAACUCAUUCUGCAGCCUGCCUGGAGCCAGCGGGAACCCAACAGCUUGCAACGGAACCCCGCUAGAACCGGGGCCUAGAACGAGCGCCCAUUUUAUGAUCUCCCAUUGGAAUGUGUCAGAAUGUGGGGCUUUACACGGCACCUAGUUUAUCAAGAGCUGGACUCUCUCUUAAGCAGAGCACCCAAACCGAACAACCGGGACAACACACACACGGUUCGACACACGUUCGAAUGCUUUGGCAUCAAAUUAUGUGAAGCGUUGGUUUUGUCUGCGUCCGGGUACGGGUUUAACAGUUCGGAACUAAUUACUUCCCAAAACAAAACGCUCUCACUUGCUGCCUUUUUAAAAUGGGGCGCCGGUUUGGAAUUUGGGUUUACGUUCGAUCGUUCAGCGCUUAACAAACUGCGGGCGUAAUGAAGUAAAUGCACUUUUGUUUUUUCUCCAAGAGGGAACAUGAACGAACGAGACACGAUCAUAAAUACGACCACCAACUGGGUGGAAGCAGCAGUUGUUUUUAUCUUCUCUCGUUCAGUAUGCACAUUUCAGGGCGACUAAUGACGCCCUUUAAAAGGGAAACCAAAUUAUAGACACAGUUUGAAGUUGAAACAAGCGAGCAAAGAAGGGAACUUAAAGGGCAAGGACAAGGUUUUAAAAAUUAUGCUUAAACCAAUUCAUUAAGGUCAGUUUCGAACAAAUGUCGGGAUAAAGCGUUGGCUUUUGUCUUUCAGAGUAAAAUUUUAUAGCUUCCUUGGAGAUGACCAUUAAUGGCCAAAGUGUAUAUGAAAAAGGAGUAAAAUAAUUGUACGAAAAGCUUGUCCUGUUUUGAGGAUAACACAAUUAGUAAGAGUCAGUAGUUUUACAACAAGCCAUGUAAUUAUUUGUGCCAACCUGUGCAGACUCUUUCACUACGUAAGUUUUAUUUAUUUAUUUUAUUUUUCCUUGGCACUAGAGCCUCGAGAGGUCUUGGCCUACCAUUUCUGGCUUUCUGAGCCUUUAUUUUAACCUUAGCAAAGUAGUAGUUCUGCCGUGUGAAGACCGGCGCCGUUAUCGCCUCGGCCGCCGGCCAGCCCCAUAACAAUAUUUUUCUUAAUUUUCCAAUAAUCUGACAUGGAAAUAAGAUUGAACUUCUAAACAGGAAAAAUUCUAAAUUUUCCAAAAACAUGCACUCUUCUUAGUACGAAUAUACGUCUAGGCAUGUAUUCUUCUCGAAUGCUCCGUAGUAUCGACGCCUGCUAUUUUGAUCUUUAAGCUUCCAUCCCGCUAAAUACCCUAUGGGAUUAUUAUGAGUUUCUGUAACAUAAAGGAUGCUGCACUGGGAAAAAAACUCCCACAGACAGCAUCCCGCAUAGAAAGCAAAAUGAUCGUUUAUGACUCAUCCAAGAGAGCUAUCUCAGGAAAGAAAAACCACCAGCUAAGCUUCACCCUCCACGGACACCUUCACGAAGGAAAGCCUGCUCAAAAGUGCAUUCCAGCGAUAAGAAAAUAAUGAAUGACUUGACAGGGAGGAACAUAUCUUCUCCGACACACAGAAGGACAGAGCGGGCGCCCGGGAGUGGCCCAAGAGGAGGAUCCGAUAAAGCUUCACCCAGGUAGUGGAGAGACCUGAGGACUGGUCAAAUUAUAACAAAUUAGAACAGCGUUAAACACGGCUCGAAAGUGACACGAGAAGGAGAAAGGAGAACAAAACUUUGGUUUUCUGAUGUUGAUUCGAUUUGAUUGCAUUCCCAGGCGCUUGGCGCGUUUAGUGUCGUGUUUAAUGGAUUGGUUUGCCGGCCCGAUCGGACAGAGAUUGGUAGCAUUCCGCCGGCUGCAACGAGCUAGUUCUAUGAGCGAUCAUCACCGCGGCCGAGAUCGAUUGGAUCGAUUUUACGAAUCGAUGAGACUUUUUCCCCAAGCAAGCAGCAUCCACUGCCGGUCCGGAUCGUGAUCGCAUUUCUGGUGGCGGUAACGAGUCCCCUAACGAAUCGGGGCCGAAAAGUUCGCGAUAAGAGCUGUUCAUUAAGCAGCACAUUAACAUUUUUUUCCCACUGCACACGAACUGCGGCUGCGGGAAGACAGGAAUUCAAAUUCGGGACUUUGUGCACGAUGACAGUUGAAAGAAGAAAAAAAAAAAUGGGGAAGCAGCAUCAGUGUGCCCGGUUGGUCCCACACAAUGUCACACACGGAUGGAAUGCAACAAAGGGCCCAUUUCUAAAGGUGCGGGGCCAUGCGGACUUUGCUCACGUUUUUCUGGUACUUGUAACUGUCGCACCCGACGACGUCACGGCCGAAGGAUUACUCAAGGAUCAAUGGAUCGUCGAUGGAGCCAAUCGAGCGGUGGAUGGGACGAUCGGGUUUUGUUUGGUUGUUGUUUUGUUUUUUUUUGUCGCUUCAUUUCAGUACGUUUCGUGUGCGGUUGUGUGGUGCGACAAGCGAAAAAUAAAAUGCCAACCGGCCACCGGAUCGGGGAAGCGAUGGGCAAUGGUCAAGUUCAGUGCAGCUCAGCGCGCGCGCACACACCAGGCAACGCACGAUCACGAGCAGCGAAUGGCCCACCCUGAGCACUGAACAUAACGUCGGUUGACGAUAUGAUGCGUCCCGAGCCGCACGAAUGCGUGCCAAUUCCGGGCGAUCGUCUGGGAUCAGUGUCCGGUCAUCCCAGAUAGGCGCACUCGGUGCGUCCGGAGCGUCGAGUGCAGAUGGGACACUUAAGCUGGCAUGGGUCGGAAGGCGAUGUGGCGACAUCGGUGAUUGCUGUCCUUAGCUCGGGUGUGUGCUUGUUGCUGGUCAGUGCAACGACGGGCAGCAGAACGAAGGCACCACGAGAUAUCGAGGUACGCAUGUCACACGCCUGAAGGUUGUGGUCGAAUGCGAGAAACUAAGUAAAAUGAAUAGCUUGUCGUUCUGCCGCAAUCGACAGCUUUAAUGGGGUGAUGAGUGUGCGUGUGUGUGUGUGUCCGUGUCCUCACCCGUUCCUGCGACAGCACAACAUCGCCCAUCCACGAUUAAAUCGGCGAAAUUUUCCCCACUAUUCGGAUGGCACCCGUGGCAGACAGCAUGUCACAAACCGAACCGACCAAAGGACACGGGUGAGCAACAAAAAAA